rnacentral:tRNA from 1 species
GGGGAUUUAGCUCAGUGGUAGAGCGCUUGCCUAGCAAGCACAAGGUCCUGGGUUUGGUCCCCGGCUCCG